UCAGCCGCCGCGGUAAUACCAGCUCUCCGAGUGGUGUGGACGUUUAUUGGGCCUAAAGCAUCCGUAGCUGGCUGAACAAGUCCCCUGUUAAACCCACCGAUUUAAUCGUUGGCGUGCGGGGGAUACUGCUUGGCUAGGGGACGAGAGAGGCAGACGGUAUUCCCGGGGUAGGGGUGAAAUCCUAUAAUCCCGAGAAGACCACCAGUGGCGAAGGCUGUCUGCUAGAACGCGCCCGACGGUGAGGGAUGAAAGCUGGGGGAGCGAACCGGAUUAGAUACCCGGGUAGUCCCAGCUGUAAACGAUGCAGACUAGGUGUUUGGACGGCCACGUGCCGUUCUAGUGCCGCAGGGAAGCUGUUAAGCCCGCCGCCUGGGAAGUACGGUCGCAAGGCUGAAACUUAAAGGAAUUGGCGGGGGAGCACA
rnacentral:rRNA from 1 species